GUAUUCACCUUAAAAUGAAAAACUCUUCCAAAGAACCCUAAACUCUCCGCGACCCCAGCAAUCCGGAGAACAUCGCCGGUGCUCCCUAUUCCGGCAUACUAACUUAACACCCACAACACUCCCCUUCUUUCCCCUUACAAUAGCGCCGCAGCCCCGCUCCCCCUUUUCCCCUCUCCGGCGCACACAACACAAUACACACGUACCACCUCACCCACGCCGAAGAGGAGAGCUCGAGGAAGGAGAUGCCGCCUUGCUGCCAGCUCCGUUGAAGACCAGCCCGCCACCACUGUCGAGUCAAACCCGAGAGAGAGAGUGUGUGCGACGAUGAGAGAGAAGGUGCCGUCACCAAACGCGCCGCAGUCGCUGGAGGAGCUUCGCUCUUCGUCGUCGCCGAGGAGGGGAAAGAGGAGCUGCUCCCGUCGCACCAGUCACCGUCGUGCUUCUUGGUUGCCGAUGAAGGAGCCGCGAGAACCGUUGCCGUCGCAGAGGAGGGGGACACGCGAGAGGGGAGCCGUCAGUGUUGUCGCCGUAACAGCUGUUGAGUAAAUCUUCUUGCUUUUUCAUUCUCAGGAAAUCCAAGGAAAUCCAAGUUCUGGGUUGAUUUUUUUCUGGUUCAGCUGCAAGGGAAACUGGUGCACUUCAAGAAGCAAAGGACAAACUUUAAAAAACUGUGGACUUUUUAAACUUGAUGAAACUAAUGCUCUGCAGGGUAAACUUGAUGAAACCAAUGCUCUGCUUGUCAAGGAGCGAGAGAAUGUAGAGAAGGUUACCAUCGAAGCAACUCCAGUUAUCCAAGAAAAGGAGAUUAUUGUUGAAGACACUGCAAAGAUUGAUGCACUAAUAGUGGAAGUUGAGAGGCUAAAGGGACCCAGAAUUUGGAUGGUGAAGAAUCCGAAGAUGCAUCACUUCUACUUUCUGUAGCUAAGG